AUGAUUAGAACAUCUCAGGACUCUCCACCAACUAUCCAACAUCCCAGCUGGAAGACCAAUAUUACUAAUAAGAUGUCUUUUUGUUUCUCAGAGGAUUAUGGGGCCAUCAAAGAAACCGCAAUUUCCCAAAGGCAAACCAGCCAGCUGUCAUCCUCCUUCUGCUUAAUUCUGGAAAUGCACCCCAAGUAUCUCCUUGGAGCCCCUGAAUCCUCCUAGGGGACCAGCCCACUUCAUCAGCAGGAGAGCCCCACAACCAGAAGCCUCAUUGUUCCACAAGAACUCCUGGCAAUUCUUGAACUCAGAAGGGUUCCAAAGGGAAGAACCAGCAGGUGGGUAUCCACCCUCAGGACUUUGGCAUUCAUGGUCAAAUGUCUAGAUGACUUGGUGCUUAGAUCAAAUGACAAUGGCUCAGUGGCUCAAUUGGUACAACUAGAGAAGCGUGUUGGCUGUGGAGUUGAAUCUAGGAUUCCGGUCCAAGAUCUCCCACUUGCUUCCUGUGUGACAUUAGGCAAGUUGUUGGACUUUUCUGGGCCUCGGUUUUCCCAUUUGUAAAGUGAGAAGAUUGGAGUUGGCUGCCUCUCCUCUAGGAAACUGUAAGACUCAGGGAAACUUCCAUUAGCCCCUGUCUGCUGAGGCAGUUUAGACUAACCAGCAGCCAGAGCCUGGCUCCCUCCUCUCUGUCUCUACUCUCAGCUCAGCUCCACCUGCCUUUACCACUUGCCCCUGGGCCUGGCUUUUGCCCAGGCUCCCACUUAAAGUAGUUUUCAAGACAACAGCUGGUGGGUGAGACCAGAGCUGGCUCUGUGCCUGCCGCCAUAUUGUCUCUGUUUCUCUUCCCUUUCACCAAAGCUCUGGCUGUCCUGCCAGGCUCUAAUACCACUCCCACAUCGCUUGUGCCCAGGUACCUCCCAUGCCCAGGGCCCCCUAACCCUUUCAGGGCCAAAGGCAUAUUCCCAGCCUUGCCUUACCCCUUCUCCACUCUGUUCAGGAGCCAGUAGAUGGAGAGAAAGUUGCCAGAGGGAGGGAGAGAGUUACAUUAGGAGUUGUGAGGAUCUGGGUGAAUCCAUUUAGAAGAAUAGAAGAAAUCCCCAAACAAAACCAAGAGCCCAUGGAUUUAUGAGCUUGGUUGCUCUGUGUUCCCUAGAAGACAGUUUCAAUUCCAUACCCUCUGAGUUACCAUGUGGGGUUUUGAUUGGUUCAAGAAGAAAGAAAAUCC
rnacentral:lncRNA from 1 species